rnacentral:rRNA from 2 species
AGCGAACGCUGGCGGCAGGCCUAACACAUGCAAGUCGAACGAAGUCUUCGGACUUAGUGGCGGACGGGUGAGUAACACGUGGGAACGUGCCUUUAGGUUCGGAAUAACUCAGGGAAACUUGUGCUAAUACCGAAUGUGCCCUUCGGGGGAAAGAUUUAUCGCCUUUAGAGCGGCCCGCGUCUGAUUAGCUAGUUGGUGAGGUAAAGGCUCACCAAGGCGACGAUCAGUAGCUGGUCUGAGAGGAUGAUCAGCCACAUUGGGACUGAGACACGGCCCAAACUCCUACGGGAGGCAGCAGUGGGGAAUCUUGCGCAAUGGGCGAAAGCCUGACGCAGCCAUGCCGCGUGAAUGAUGAAGGUCUUAGGAUUGUAAAAUUCUUUCACCGGGGACGAUAAUGACGGUACCCGGAGAAGAAGCCCCGGCUAACUUCGUG